UACGUAGGUGGCAAGCGUUGUCCGGAUUUAUUGGGUUUAAAGGGUGCGUAGGCGGCAUUUUAAGUCAGUGGUGAAAUACUUCAGCUUAACUGGAGAGGUGCCAUUGAUACUGGGAUGCUUGAGUACUGAUGAGGUAGGCGGAAUGGACGGUGUAGCGGUGAAAUGCUUAGAUAUCUGGAGGAACACCGGUGGCGAAGGCGGCAUCCUGGACCGACACUGACGCUGAGGAGCGAAAGCCAGGGGAGCAAACGGG
rnacentral:rRNA from 1 species